UAGUUACGGUUUGUUAUGUUUUCUUUUGCUUGAAAUAUGCAAGUGCUGCAUGGGAAGCAAGUUAUUGAAUUACAGAAGAAAUUUGUCAUCUGUUUUCUCCUCUCUUUCUUCCUUUUCUCCCUUUUCUUUUCUCCAAAUUCUCUGCUGGAUUUCAGUUCUUAUCAAAUUAAUAAUAAAAAAGGGAGGAAAAAGGAGAAACUUUAUUUUGGGAAAUUUCUUCUCAAAAAAAAAAAAAACUCGGAAAAACCCUAACUUUACUUCUCUCACGCUCUCCAUGGAGUUUUGGGGUGCUGAAGUUAAAAGUGGACAGAACUUUGAGAUUGAACUAGAGGAUGAUGGCAGUAGGAUCUUGCAUCUUUCACAGGUUGCCCUUGGUGAGGGGACUGGUGAUAACAAGAAAGUAAAAGCAAAGGAAACCAUUUGUCUCUAUCUCAAAUUCAAAAAUGAGAAGUUUUUGGUUGGAACACUUUCCCAAGAGAAAUGCCCCCAGAUAGCAUUGGAUUUGGUAUUGCAUGACAAAUUUGAGUUGUCCCAUACACGGAAGAAUGGCAGCGUAUAUGUCACUGGCUAUUAUGUUGGUACAUCUCAAGGUAGUGAUACUGAGUCUGAAGAGGAUCUCCUUGAACCUACAAUGAAUCUUGUACAGUCAGUGCCUGCAGCAUCUGAUCCUACUACGACAGAGCAGGUUACGAUUGUUAGUAGUGAUAAGGAUGAAGAGUCCAGUGAGGAGCAGGAACCUCGCUUGCUGGUUAAUGGUGAGAAUGAUAGUGAUGAUGCUGACAGUGAUGAGGAUGAUAGUGAUGAUGCUGACUGUGACUAUCAUCCUGAUAUUGAUGAUGCUGACGGUAAUGAGGAUGAUGGUGAAGAAGACAGUUCAGAUGAGGAUAAAAAGACUCCUGAGAAGGUAAUGAUAUAUACAAAGCAGGUUACGAUUGUUAGUAGUGAUGAGGAUGAAGAGUCCAGUGAGGAGCAGGAACCUCGCAUGCUGGUUAAUGGUGAGAAUGAUAGUGAUGAUGCUGACAGUGAUGAGGAUGAUGGUGAAGAAGACAGUUCAGAUGAGGAUCAAAAGACUCCUGAGAAGGAACCUCGCAUGCUGGUUAAUGGUGAGAAUGAUAGUGAUGAUGCUGACAGUGAUGAGGAUGAUAGUGAUGAUGCUGACUGUGACUAUCAUCCUGAUAUUGAUGAUGCUGACGGUAAUGAGGAUGAUGGUGAAGAAGACAGUUCAGAUGAGGAUAAAAAGACUCCUGAGAAGGUAAUGAUAUAUACAAAGCAGGUUACGAUUGUUAGUAGUGAUGAGGAUGAAGAGUCCAGUGAGGAGCAGGAACCUCGCAUGCUGGUUAAUGGUGAGAAUGAUAGUGAUGAUGCUGACAGUGAUGAGGAUGAUGGUGAAGAAGACAGUUCAGAUGAGGAUCAAAAGACUCCUGAGAAGGCUGGACCAAGCAGGAAGAGACCUGCUAUGUCAUCUAUGAAGACCCCUGCUGCUCCCAAAAAGAAGGCAAAGCUGGUCACUCCCCAAAAGACUGGCAGAUUUUCCCUCCCAUCUUUGCCCUUUUCAUUCUGGUGCAGAUAGCAAGAAAGCGGGUGGACAUACUGCAACCCCUCACCCUUGCAAAAAGGCUGGGAAAACAUCAGCUGCUGCUGCACAGGUGACGCAGACUCCCACGUCCGGUGGUUUCAUUCCCUUGCAAGUCCUGCAGCAGAUCAUUUGGCUCUGA